rnacentral:rRNA from 1 species
GAUGAACGCUGGCGGCGUGCCUAAUACAUGCAAGUCGAGCGAAUGGAUUAAGAGCUUGCUCUUAUGAAGUUAGCGGCGGACGGGUGAGUAACACGUGGGUAACCUGCCCAUAAGACUGGGAUAACGCCGGGAAACCGGGGCUAAUACCGGAUAACAUUUUGAACCGCAUGGUUCGAAAUUGAAAGGCGGCUUCGGCUGUCACUUAUGGAUGGACCCGGGUCGCAUUAGCUAGUUGGUGAGGUAACGGCUCACCAAGCCAACGAUGCGUAGCCGACCUGAGAGGGUGAUCGGCCACACUGAGACUGAGACACGGCCCAGACUCCUACGGGAGGCAGCAGUAGGGAAUCUUCCGCAAUGGACGAAAGUCUGACGGAGCAACGCCGCGUGAGUGAUGAAGGCUUUCGGGUCGUAAAACUCUGUUGUUAGGGAAGAACAAGUGCUAGUUGAAUAAGCUGGCACCUUGACGGUACCUAACCAGAAAGCCACGGCUAACUACGUGCCAGCAGCCGCGGUAA